rnacentral:piRNA from 1 species
UCCCCGUAGCCCUGGGAAAGGUGUCUC